CGUGGAAACACCGAUUCCCAUACAACUGCCGAAGUUAAGCAAAGUCGAGCCUGGUCAUUACCUUGACAGGUGACCGCUUGAGAAUAUCAGGUGCUGUAUG